GUAUGUUCAGUUAUGUAUUUAUAGAAACGAGAAUUGAAAAUCCUCGUGUCGGUGGUUCGAUUCCGCCCCUGGGCACCA
rnacentral:tRNA from 1 species